rnacentral:lncRNA from 1 species
GCAUGGGAAAAAAGAGUUUAUGUGUGUAAAGAUACGGAGUAGGCCCUCCCUCUUCCUGUGUGACGUUCCCCAUCAACCAGAAAAUACUUAGAUUUCCUGGGUUCUUUUUCUGGAAGUGGGUGGGUGGUUUCUUGGUAGGACUAGGACCAGGGAGACCAGGGUUCAAAUCCCCACUAAACCAUAAAAGUUCUUCAAGCCUGUGACCUCAGCCUAAUCUGCCUCACAGGGUUGUGAGGAUAAAAUGGCGUGAGGCGGGGAGAGAACCUUGCACACCGCCUUGGAGGAAAGCAGAGGCAAUAUAAAUACCGUAAGUGGGAGAGUUCAGUCAGUAAAGCAUGAGACUCCUAAUCUCAGGGUCAUGGGUUUGAGCCCCACAUUCCUGCAUUGCAGGGGGUUGGACUAGAUGACCCUCGUGAUCCUUUCCAACUCCACAAUUUUAUACUUUUAAAUAAUAAAUAUAAAAUAAACACAUUGUUCCUUUGGUGUUGAGUCUCCAUCUUUGGACAAUGGGUUCUUUCCAGGUAAAUUGUACUCAAAGUAGAUUCACUGACCUGAGUUAAGUCAUGUCCAUAAGUCUACUCUGAGUAGGAUUAACAUGGGCUGCAACCUAUUGUUACUCAUGUGCAAGUGCACACCUGUAUGUAUGUCCUCCCCACCCCCCGGCUGGAAAUUCAAACCAGCUGUUGUAGGGAAAAGUAAAGGGAUAUAAUCUUUGAGCCCCAGCACUUGAGGAGCCUGUUUCUCAGAGGCAGAGCAGCUGUAGACAAUACUGAGCUAAAUGGACCAAAUGUUCACUCAAUAUAAAGCAGCCUGCUAUCCUAUCAUACCCCAAGUGUCACAGAAAAAACAUAACAUCCCAGGUUGGGGGGGGGGGGGCACGAAGGGGCCUCAGCCCCUAGCAGUUGGCUCCUAUGGGUCUGAUUUGAUCCCAGAUUGUCCUGCUUUUCCUUAGGACGUUCUUAUUUUCAUCAGAGAAAUGUUGGAGGGUAUAGAGUUAUCUGAUUCCCGAGCCAACGAGAUAAGUAACUGAAGGCAGUUGCAUCUGAAGGCAGCCCUGUAUAGGGAAGUUUUUUAAUGUACAAUUUUUUAUUAUGUUUCAGAUAUUUUGAAAGCUGCCCAGAGUAGCUGGGGCAACCCAGUCAGAUGGGCGGGGUGUAAAUAAUAAAAAUAUUAUCAUCAUUAUGGUGGAAUAGGACGUCCCUAUUUUCAUCGGAGAAAUGUUGGAGGGUAUGAAGGAGGCAGGCAGGCGCGAACUGAGGUUGGUGAGGCAGGGCCUGCUUUGCCCUAAUGGACGAGCAGCUGUGAGCUUGAACUGCCUCUCAUCCCUCCGCUCCAGGCGGUUUAUCCCAAGCCUCUCAUUCCAGCCCCUAAACUUUACAGGCCAAAGUGAGCUCCCUUUCUCUCAGCACCCACCAUGCAGGCCCUGGAACAGUUUCCCCACAGUCACAGGGUGUGUCCUUGGUGGAAAAGGUAUUUGCCAACGCCAAAUGCAUAUGGAAGCGCAAGAGAUCUUGGAAGGAGCUCCCUUCUCUUCCUGGGCUAAUCCACAAGGCCUCGCCGUGCCUUUUACCUCCCAAGACUGGCCACACCACCUCUUUGUUUUGCAAGUUUCCUCUAAUCCAGUUUGUUGUUUCUCGUCAGGUGGUCUGAAAAUCCAAGAUUUGGACAACGUUCAAGGGAAGAUUUACUCUCUCUUUUUGUCACUUUAUUUCUAGUUCACUUAAGCUGCUUCUUUCCGUUCCGUCGCUUCCUUGUUUCUGUUCUGUUGAUUCCCCAAUCCCCGCCCCACCUAUGGAGAAAGGACCUCAGCUCAGUGGUAGAGAGCAUUAGCUACGCACGC